AUCAGUGAAUUACGGUAAUUUGAAUUUUAAAGUUAAGUAUUCGUAGUCUAACUCUGCACUCCCACUGUACAAACGCUCCGGCAUGUCUAGUGUCUACCAAGCAGUGUAAACUGAAAAGCCAUCCCGUUCUUCCGUAACUGCUGACGCCUGUCACUACUUACUUCGCAAUAUCACUUCUCUUUUAUCAUGCCUUUAUUUGUUAAAACCGCAGUCAAUGACGAGGAAGUGAAAGCGCUCGUAAAGAAGCACUGGAACGUCGACUUGGGAGAGAAACUUAAAGACUCCCAAAAUCAGACCUUCGCCGGCACUAUCGGAGAGGGAAGCCAUGUAAAGAAAGUGAUUAUUCGCGUGACGCCCAAUCCUGCUGGUGAACGCACCGGAUCCCUUGAUUUAGAAUUACAGGUGCUCAAGUUUUUGGCGUCCAAGAAUCUCCCUGUUUGUGAGUCCAUUCCUGCGCUUGAUACCGGCGCGUUUCAAGUGCCCCUUGGCGAUCUGAGCGUUUCAGUUUUCCAUUACGCGGAAGGAGAAUUCGUUGGUUUUGGCGACCGGCGCUGGAUGCUAGAAGAGCAACACGUCGUUGGUGUUGGUCGCUGGUUUGGCCAACUGCAUCUUUUGCUCGAUGAAUUCGAAGAUACAUUUCCCGAGCUUCUUGUACAUGCUAGAAAAUGGGAUGAACUUCAUGACGGCGUGUUGAAGGAAGUGUCAGUCGAUCCGCGAGACCGCAAAACGGAGAGCGAGAUUUCGACAGCCAAGCCCCGCACCUACGGCCUUAUUCACGGAGAUGUCAACACUUCCAACUAUUUUUGGCUGCCGGAGAGGCAGCUUCCUUGCAUGUUCGAUUGGGACCAAAUGCAGCGCGCCUGGCGCCUGUACGAUUUGACCAGCUGCAUUUGGGGCGUGGUCACACUUCAGUACGCCGGAUCGCCGCUGACCCUCCAACCGGUGCCGGAAGCGAAUGAAGUGGCUUAUACUAAUCUUCUCGUGCGCGGAUACGAGGAGGCGACAGACACGAAGGUGGAUAGAGACGCUUUGGCACGGGCCCUCAAAAUCCGCCGUGCGCUCUAUACCAGCUUCUGUUCUCGAGCUCUGGCAGAGCUGACACCGGGAACCCCUAUGCACCAUUUCUGCGAUUUCAUGAACAACUGGCUAUCUUCUGAAGCGGAAAAGAAACGAAUCGGAGAGGGAAGCUGAGCAGUGAGCACCGUACACCGGGAAGCAGCUAGGUUUAUAAAUAUUUUAUACAUAGUGUGUGUCACAGUGACAGUGUUUGUUUUGAUUUGGGUUUCUACUUUUAUCAUGUUCUAUAAUUAUGUUCCUCUGUUCUGCUUUCUUUUCCCCAAACCAAUGAUUUUCCAAUAAAUGAGUCAACAAUUUGUGGCACCAUAAUUUUCCGUAAUUCGGAAACGAAACCUGGUAGAGUGGUUAGUGUAUGCAGCAUAAGUGCAUAUGAUUUUCCGCCAUGUGCAAACACUACUCGUACCUGUUACGGUUUUUCGCAUCUCCAGACUUCAGUUUUGGGGGUUACACUACUGUUUGCUGUCUGGCAGUGGCAACCUUGCUUAUCUUUUCCGGCGGAUGAAUCAUUCGGUCGGCUUAAGCUACUUUUAUUCAAGUAAAACAUGUUGGAAAUGUUAUCGCGGUGCUAUUUCCUGUUCUACGGCUCGAACACCGUUUCCGGCUAUGAACUUUUUUCGACGGAUAUCUAGAAGCAAAGCGAGUUCAAUGGACCACAAUCCCGAAGUUAUUUUGUUGGGAGAUAGCUUGAUUAACCGUCUGCAGUAUGCUCCAUGAUGCCCGGUUCUCUGCGGGAAAAAGCGGAAAAUGGCCCGCGUCCGCUUGUUGUAGGAAGCCGAGAACGCAAAAAUGGACAACACUGGUGGUCUCAGUAAUGCACUCUGCAGUGUUAGAUAUGGUCGAACAAAUUCGCAUCGUCCUUUCGCUGUCUGAAUUUGGGGAUCGAUGGACUGACUGUGGAGGGACUACUGCGACGGGUUGUUGAGGGAGAAUUUCCGAUAGAUGGUUUCCACGCCAAGGUUAUCGUUCUUCUGAUCGGAACGAAUAAUGUUGGGGACACGCCGGAUCACAUUGCCGGUAUGAUCGACCAAAUCAUCGUAGCGGUUCGCGAUCGUCAGCCUUCCGCGCAACUAUUUGUGGUAGAAUUAUUCCCAAAAGGCCCGGGACCAUCCGUGUACAGGGAUAAAAAUACAGCAGUGAAUGUACUGCUACGAGAACGACUAAAAGAGAACGCUAACCUCCGUGUGAUAAAUUUGGAUCCAGGAUUUGUUGAUGAGAACGGCAAGAUCAGCAAGACAGAUUUUCCGGAUUAUUUGCAUUUUUCGGAUAUUGCCUAUGAAAAAGCAUUUUCUCCUCUGUACGUCCUGUUAGACGAAGCUGUCAAAAAGUCAAACACGAAAUAAUCGCAUAAAAUUUCUGUUUUGUACUAUUAGUACAGUACUUCAUUGAAUUUGUGACUGCUUUUGUGAUAAUCUGAUAGACUGGUAGUGACAGUACGCUUGCUUUCCAGUUAUUUGAUUCAUGCUUGUCUUUAUUGCCUUUCUGCACAAUGUGAACUAGAAUACGGGUUUGUGA